UACGAAGGGGGCUAGCGUUGUUCGGAAUCACUGGGCGUAAAGGGUGCGUAGGCGGGUCUUUUAAGUCAGGGGUGAAAUCCUGGAGCUCAACUCCAGAACUGCCUUUGAUACUGAAGAUCUUGAGUUCGGGAGAGGUGAGUGGAACUGCGAGUGUAGAGGUGAAAAUUCGUAGAUAUUCGCAAGAACACCAGUGGCGAAGGCGGCUCACUGGCCCGAUACUGACGCUGAGGCACGAAAGCGUGGGGAGCAAACAGGG
rnacentral:rRNA from 1 species